rnacentral:rRNA from 2 species
UAGGGAAUCUUCCACAAUGGACGCAAGUCUGAUGGAGCAACGCCGCGUGAGUGAAGAAGGUUUUCGGAUCGUAAAGCUCUGUUGUUGGUGAAGAAGGAUAGAGGCAGUAACUGGUCUUUAUUUGACGGUAAUCAACCAGAAAGUCACGGCUAACUACGUGCCAGCAGCCGCGGUAAUACGUAGGUGGCAAGCGUUGUCCGGAUUUAUUGGGCGUAAAGCGAGCGCAGGCGGAAUGAUAAGUCUGAUGUGAAAGCCCACGGCUCAACCGGGGAACUGCAUCGGAAACUGUCAUUCUUGAGUGCAGAAGAGGAGAGUGGAAUUCCAUGUGUAGCGGUGGAAUGCGUAGAUAUAUGGAAGAACACCAGUGGCGAAGGCGGCUCUCUGGUCUGCAACUGACGCUGAGGCUCGAAAGCAUGGGUAGCGAACAGG